rnacentral:lncRNA from 1 species
UUGGAGUUGGGACCAUAUGCUCUGUGCAGUGUCAGAGUACUGCACAGAUUCAGCAAUUGCAGGGGAGAGGGAAGCAGUCAACCAAGAAAUCACCAUGUUGUUACACCUAUCCCACAACCUCUGUUGAGCCACAUUAGUGGCAGGUCGGGAGUAUGUGCCAUCAACAAAACCGAUUUUAUUUUUGGCUGAUAAGGCAACAAUCAUUUUAUGUCUCCAGCCCCAUAACCACUACCCGAGAAGGGAGUGGGAACGAGAGAUACCCCAGGGACAUCCGAAGAAUACAAAAAAAGGGGACUGGAAGAGUCUACAGAAGGGGAGGCACCAGUAUUUGUUUUAGAAGCCAUAGUCAAUGAGCCGGCUUAAAAGAACAACUUUUCAACAAACAGAUUAUAACCAAAUCAGGUAUUCACACACAAUAACCAACAAACAGAGUAUAACCAAAUCAGGUAUUCACAGACAACACCAGAUGCUCACAUACACAGAGUCAGAUAAUCACAUA